rnacentral:rRNA from 1 species
AUGCAGUCGAGCGGAUGACGGGAGCUUGCUCCUUGAUUCAGCGGCGGACGGGUGAGUAAUGCCUAGGAAUCUGCCUGGUAGUGGGGGACAACGUUUCGAAAGGAACGCUAAUACCGCAUACGUCCUACGGGAGAAAGCAGGGGACCUUCGGGCCUUGCGCUAUCAGAUGAGCCUAGGUCGGAUUAGCUAGUUGGUGAGGUAAUGGCUCACCAAGGCGACGAUCCGUAACUGGUCUGAGAGGAUGAUCAGUCACACUGGAACUGAGACACGGUCCAGACUCCUACGGGAGGCAGCAGUGGGGAAUAUUGGACAAUGGGCGAAAGCCUGAUCCAGCCAUGCCGCGUGUGUGAAGAAGGUCUUCGGAUUGUAAAGCACUUUAAGUUGGGAGGAAGGGCAGUAAGCUAAUACCUUGCUGCUUUGACGUUACCGACAGAAUAAGCACCGGCUAACUCUGUGCCAGCAGCCGCGGUAAUACAGAGGGUGCAAGCGUUAAUCGG